AUCUAGGAUUUUCCAGUAGGGCCAUAGUUAGUCAAAUUAAUUUGGGACUUCAGGAAUUUAGUGAAUCUCACACAGUGUAGAAGAGAUUGCUAGGAAUUUCUAUUGUUCUUUAACUGGUGCGUUUAAGCUUGGGCCAGAACACUGACUAGACACCAGAGGUGUAGGACCUGUCCGCCCGGUCAGAUAGUUCGCCUGUUUUGUCAGGAUUUCUGCGUGGAAUUCUGCGCCAGUUUUGGCACCGUUUUAUACCAGUUUGGGCAUCCUGUGUGGAGGAAGAGUUGGACCAGGCGACGGGCGACGGCAAAGUGGACGGAGAAGAGACUAACUAAUCUCACGGUAGACGUGGACCACCACAGAAAACAGCAAUCGCAGACGUAAAAUGUCACAUAAAACACGGUGAAAUGAUCUGAUUCUUCCUUUCGUCUGAUAUAUUUACCUUAA